AAACGGUGUUGGGAAAACUGGACAGCCACAUGCAAAAAAAUGAAAAUAGACCACUAUCUUACACCAUACAUAAAAAUUAACUCAAAAUGAAUUAAAGAC